GUAAUAGCUCACUGGUCGAGUCGGCCUGCGCGGAAGAUGUAACGGGGCUAAACCAUGCACCGAAGCUGCGGCAGCGACGCUUAUGCGUUGUUGGGUAGGGGAGCGUUCUGUAAGCCUGUGAAGGUGUGCUGUGAGGCAUGCUGGAGGUAUCAGAAGUGCGAAUGCUGACAUAAGUAACGAUAAAGCGGGUGAAAAGCCCGCUCGCCGGAAGACCAAGGGUUCCUGUCCAACGUUAAUCGGGGCAGG
rnacentral:rRNA from 1 species